UUAGCUAAUUGGAUUGUUUUUAACUAUCUUGAGAGGAAGGGAGAUACAGAGGAGAGAGAGAGAGAGAGAGAGAGAGAGAGAGAGAGAAAUAGAAUAAUCAGGUCAUAAUCUAUUGCUAUCAUUUAUUACGUAAGUGUUUAACGCUUUUAUUUACAAAAGUUCGCUCUCGGUAGAUCGACAUCGAUUUUAGUUUCCUGCCAGUAUUUUGCGGGCCACUAUAACCAAUGCUUCAGUUAUAACAGUUCAAGUAAAGGGGCAAUAGAGGAGCUCGUGAUCUGUGGUUUAUGCCCACCACUGGAGGCCUGGCAGGUGUCUCCAUACACAGCAGAGCGCAAUAAGACUUGAACCCAACCAAAUGUCGUCUCAGCUGUUGCUCUACUCACUGGCCACCUUAUAUUUCAUCUGUUUGUUACAGAUUGAAGUCAAAACUAGCAGUGGUUGGGAGAACUGUCAUCCAUAUGGAAUUUGCCAGAACGACUGGGACUGUAAAAAGCAUCCUUAUUUGAUCACCAUCCGGCAAUGCUCCAACAGUUGCUGUCGUUACUUUGGCCUUAUCAAACUAUAAACAUUUAACUCCUUCUCUCCGUAAUUAUUUACCACAUUCUGGUGAAAUCAACGCUGGUAUCGUCAGUUAGGAGAGAAAGAGUUAAUGUCCAGUAUAGCUGCUUAUAGUGUCAUCGUUCUGCUUAUUCUUUUUUGUUUCAUCAACACAGUGUUUCAUACCUGACAUUGUAUUUUCUAUAAUGUAUUGAUUUUAAUUUAACUGUAAAAAAGCUGACCCACUUGUAAAUUCGACAGUUUGUGCACAAAGAUUUUAAUAAAUAAUGUCACCUAUAAA
rnacentral:sRNA from 1 species